UACCUGCACCUCCGCCACCUGCCUACCCCCUCCGCGCCUCGCUCCGGGCCUGGCGACGCCCGGCACCGCCAUGGAGCUGGCCUCUCCUGGGGGGUGCCAGAGACCAGCAGGGACCUGCUUUGGCAAAGAGUGCGGAGUCCGGUGCUCCCCCUUUGAAGAACCACAGAAGCAGUGUGAGGGAUGCGAGGCGAUGACGGAAGACGGGUGCAGUGGGCUGCAAACUGGGGGUGCGAAGAAGAGGAGUGCCAGAUCACAUCAGGCUGUAAGAUACCUGAGGACUAUUUGUUUGCAGACUGCUGGAAGACAGAGACGGAAUCACCUAUUGUAAAAAACUCAACAUGAAAAGAUCUUCAUGUGAUCAUCAAAAUCAUCAGCAAAGUAGCAGAACCUGUCCAUUCAGUGCAAGUCAUCUGCCUUGUGCGCCUAUCUGAUACUUGGAUCAAAGCUGAAGUGCAGUCAGAAGGAAAGAAGGAAGUGUUCAGAAGAAUUGAAACAAGGCUGGAUUCUCAGAAACACAAAGACAAAUCCAUUUCCUCAGCAAGCUAAUGCAAC